GCACCGGUGGUGUACGGUACACACGCUAUGCCUGCGAUGUAUGCACGUGCUGCGAGUUCAGUGGCGAGUCCGGGGUUCGACUCCCCGCCGGCGCA